GUGAGAGUCCUCACUGGUUUAUCUGGCCACCAAACGCUCACGGCACAGACCCAACACUUCCAUGACCCACACACAGGGCUCUGCUCUGGACCCAUGGUGGAUGUAGGACCUGAGAGUCCUAUUUGGUGUGGAAGUAGAAGAGCUACCUCAUCACCUCCUCACUGGGAGAGGAGGGGGUUUCCAGGACGUGACAGGCAUUUCUCUAUCCUCAAUCAUCUAAUGAGAGUUGAGAUUGUUUCUCUAUUUUAAACUUAGUUGUUGUAAAGAACACUACGAGCACAAUUGGAUUAAUUCCAAGUAGAGUCACCACAUGAAUGUUUAUCUUAAAAACUGUUUACAAGCACACUGGUGGUAACUGUGGCUUCCCAAUUCGUAAUUAUAAACAAAGACUCAAUAAGGAUUCACAGAUGGAAAUAAGGGGACAAAACAAGUACAGUAAUAUAAUUGUGAAAAUUCAGUAGGGCAUGCACAGAUUACCACCACCUCUGUAAGAAGUAUAUAGAGACACAUGUUUGAAAUAUGCAUAAUGAGAUGUAGAACAAUGUCUCUCUUGGUUGUUGUGUUGUCCUAGCUCAAAUUUUGCAGUUUCUGCUGUCAUCACAGCUGGGAAUGAGAAAGGGAAGGGGCUCCAGUUGGUCUCCCUCUGCCUCUGGAGCACACGUGGAGGACAUGAGGCUUCCGCAGGAACAGCUCUGAAAGCUGAGUUCUCGGGUCCCUGUGAAGGAGGGAAGCUUGCCUGCCUUGGAGCGUGAAAAAGUCUUGCUGGACAGAAGUCUCACGGUUUAAAACUGGGAAGGGAGAGGAUUGAGAUCACACUAGAAUGCACAGAAAAUUCUUAAAACAAAAAAAUGAGAGAAACUUCAUCAGAAUGUGAAAAGAACUAUAAAGCUACAGUGCUGAAGAGAGGGCAAUACUGGCACUAGAAUGAGAAGAUUCAUGGAACACAGUGGAAAAUGCAGUAAGAGAGCUGCAUGUAUGUAAUAUUUUAUCAUGUGAUAAAGUGAUAUAUUAAUAUUCACAAGGAAAUAGUCAAUUAUUUAAUAAGUUCUCUUUUUGGUAUUGACUUACUGUAUGGAAACAAAUAUUGUUGCAUUUCUACCUUACUAGUUACAAAUAGUGAUUUAGUUGUAAUAAAAUGAAAAUCAUUAGACUUAAACGAUGAUGAAUUGCAUAGAAGUUCUAGGUGAGAUUGGCCUUUCUAAGCCUGGCAUCAAACUAGACACCCUAGAAAAAUGGACAGAUAUUAUUUUAUUUUUCAAAGUUCAAUUCACCAUAGGUGCCAAAUGUAAAUAAUAACACAUGAGGAGUAAUAUCUUCAACACAUUGGAUAAAGGGUCAGUAUCUCUAAAAUAGUAUAUAUUAAUUCUUACGAACCAAUAAGAAAAAAUUAAUCCUCCAAAAGGAGAAUAGGCAAAGAGUAUCACAAGGCGAUUCUCAAAAGAAGAACUAUAAAUGACCUAUAACGUUGUCAAAUAUUGCUAGUACUCCUAAAGAUGGGGGAAUGCAAAUCAAAUUAACAAAUCUCAUUUUCAGAACCACAGAGCUUGGAUUGCCAUCAUUAUUAAAUUAAAGUAUAUGACUUAGGGAAUGUUAAUUAACCCCCCAAUUUCUUAUGUUACAUUCAACGGUACUUUAAACCCUUAAUGAAGUUUCUGUGUAGAUUAAAUAAAAUGUGCAUGCAAUGUGCUUAGUACAUUAACUACCAGAAUGUCAGCACCCAUAUGUACCAUCAAUAUUAUUAUUAUCAUUAUUCAUUUUUUUGAGACAGAGUCUCACUCUAUUGCCCAAACUGGACUGUAGUAGUGUGAUAUUAGCUCACUGAAACCUUCACCUUCCUGGCUCUAGAAAUUCUCCUGCCUCAGCAUCCAAAGUAGCUGGGAUUACAUGUGUGCGCCACAACAGCCGGCUAAUUUUUUGUAUAUUUAGUAGAGACAGGGUUUCACCAUGUUGGCUGAGCGGGUCCAAAUCUCCCGGCCUAAGUGAUCCUAAUGACUGGACUGGCCAAAUGCUGGGAUUACAUGCAUGAGCCACCGGGCGUGGCCAGUAUUAUUGUUAUUAAUACAGUAAUUAUUGUAUAAAAAUUCCUGAUGGAUCAAUGAUGCCAUCAUUAAAUAAUCAACACAUAAAAACAUUCAAAUAAAUGAUAUGGACGUCUUUAUGCAUACUUAUGAAGUAUGUGCACCUUUAGAAGUAAGACACACAAUCCAGACACAGGAAAAUAUAAGAUUUAUUAAAAUGUAUAAAAACCAAAUAUCAGAAUGAAAAUAUAAAUAUGGCAUUGAAAUAGAAACAAUACAUACUCUGCUAUGACAAACAGAGUGAAACAGCUCAAGUGAACUGACAAAAAUAUUGUUACCUGUAGUGUCAGGGAGAAAAGAGGAACAAGAAAUCUACAAUGGAAGCUAAAAUCUUCAAAUGCAUCACCUUUUAUGAUUUUGACUUCAGUUCCAUGUAAAUAUUUUAUAUAUACAAAACAGAUUUGAAACAAAACAAAGUAAUACAACAAAUUUCCAAAAUGUAAAAAUGAAAACUGAACAGUUAAACUAGCUGUAUAAAUGUUGGCAUGAACAAAUAGAGAAAAAUUAUUUCAAAUGAUUUUGUGGAAAAAGUAUUCUCAUUAUGUACCCAAAAAGGAAAGAAAGAGAGAGAAAAACAAGGAAGGAAGGAGGAAAACAAGGAAGGAGAAUGGAUGGAAGGAAACAAGGGAGGAAGGGAGGAAAGGAUGGAUGGAGGGAGGGAGUUAGGGAGGGAGAGAAAAAUAAAAACAAGCAAAGAAGUAAGAAAAAAGAGAGAGAGAAUAAAAGGGAGGGCAGAGGGAGAGAAUGUUCAACUGCAUACCUAGGCCUAGUGUUUUAGUGGUCAUUAUACUAUUGCUUAUAUUGUUAUAGACAUAAGGAAUAAGCACCACUCUCAGCUGUGAUCUCUGGACCAUGACUGGAUAAAUGAUUCAGUAUAAAUAACCUUCCUAUUUGCUGUCCAAAAUAUCUAGAUUCGCAGCUGGACCCUAGUUGUACCUGUCUGUCAUAGGAAGCAGAGUGAGUGGGCCUCCCCCAUGUCCUAGGAGAGCUGAGAGAACCUUACUCUCAGCCAGGCUGCUUAACUGAGGCCCGGAGAUGGCAGCUUGAUCUUCAGGAAAGUUGUGGGGGAGGGGUAGGGAACAGGGUGCAGCUGCUGCCAGGACAGUGUGAUAUUAGGAGGGAGAUCAGGAGUUAAGCUGUCUUUCUCUUGUUCAGAAUACAGUAAAUUUGGUGGCAGGAAAUGAGAGGGGGCGGCUCUAUCUUGUGUACCAGAGGCAGCCACAAGGCAGAUGUUCAGUGUGGUGUAGGGCAGAUCUGAAUCACUGUGCCUGCCCCAGGUGGCACAGUAAUAGACCCCAGAAUCAUUUUCAAUUAGAUUUUGCAGUCUCAAAUUCCAGCUCCACCUCCUCGGUGUAUGAGUAUAAUACUUUCCAAGACUGAGACCUGAUUCCAACACAUCC
rnacentral:lncRNA from 1 species